CCUACGGGAGGCAGCAGUGAGGAAUAUUGGUCAAUGGACGAGAGCCUGAACCAGCCAAGUAGCGUGAAGGAUGACUGCCCUAUGUGUUGUAAACUUCUUUUAUAUGGGAAUAAAAUGUUCCACGUGUGGGAUUUUGUAUGUACCAUAUGAAUAAGUAUCGGCUAACUCCGCGCCAGCAGCCGCGGUAAUACGGAGGAUCCGAGCGUUAUCCGGAUUUAUUGGGUUUAAAGGGAGCGUAGGUGGAUUGUUAAGUCAGUUGUGAAAGUUUGCGGCUCAACCGUAAAAUUGCAGUUGAAACUGGCAGACUUGAGUACAGUAGAGGUGAGCGGAAUUCGUGGUGUAGCGGUGAAAUGCUUAGAUAUGACGAAGAACUCCGAUUGCGAAGGCAGCUCACUGGACUGCAACUGACACUGAGGCUCGAAAGUGUGGGUAUCAAACAGGAUUAGAUACCCGGGUAGUC
rnacentral:rRNA from 1 species